UUAACACAUGCAAGUCGAGGGGCAGCAUUUUAGUUUGCUUGCAAACUGAAGAUGGCGACCGGCGCACGGGUGAGUAACACGUGUCCAACCUGCCGAUAACUCCGGAAUAGCCUUUCGAAAGAAAGAUUAAUACCGGAUAGCAUACGAAUAUCGCAUGAUAUUUUUAUUAAAGAAUUUCGGUUAUCGAUGGGGAUGCGUUCCAUUAGUUUGUUGGCGGGGUAACGGCCCACCAAGACUACGAUGGAUAGGGGUUCUGAGAGGAAGGUCCCCCACAUUGGAACUGAGACACGGUCCAAACUCCUACGGGAGGCAGCAGUGAGGAAUAUUGGUCAAUGGGCGAGAGCCUGAACCAGCCAAGUAGCGUGAAGGAUGAAGGCUCUAUGGGUCGUAAACUUCUUUUAUAUGGGAAUAAAGUUUUCCACGUGUGGAAUUUUGUAUGUACCAUAUGAAUAAGGAUCGGCUAACUCCGUGCCAGCAGCCGCGGUAAUACGGAGGAUCCGAGCGUUAUCCGGAUUUAUUGGGUUUAAAGGGAGCGUAGGUGGAUUGUUAAGUCAGUUGUGAAAGUUUGCGGCUCAACCGUAAAAUUGCAGUUGAAACUGGCAGUCUUGAGUACAGUAGAGGUGGGCGGAAUUCGUGGUGUAGCGGUGAAAUGCUUAGAUAUCACGAAGAACUCCGAUUGCGAAGGCAGCUCACUAGACUGUCACUGACACUGAUGCUCGAAAGUGUGGGUAUCAAACAGGAUUAGAUACCCUGGUAGUCCACACAGUAAACGAUGAAUACUCGCUGUUUGCGAUAUACAGUAAGCGGCCAAGCGAAAGCAUUAAGUAUUCCACCUGGGGAGUACGCCGGCAACGGUGAAACUCAAAGGAAUUGACGGGGGCCCGCACAAGCGGAGGAACAUGUGGUUUAAUUCGAUGAUACGCGAGGAACCUUACCCGGGCUUAAAUUGCAACAGAAUAUAUUGGAAACAGUAUAGCCGUAAGGCUGUUGUGAAGGUGCUGCAUGGUUGUCGUCAGCUCGUGCCGUGAGGUGUCGGCUUAAGUGCCAUAACGAGCGCAACCCUUAUCUUUAGUUACUAACAGGUCAUGCUGAGGACUCUAGAGAGACUGCCGUCGUAAGAUGUGAGGAAGGUGGGGAUGACGUCAAAUCAGCACGGCCCUUACGUCCGGGGCUACACACGUGUUACAAUGGGGGGUACAGAAGGCGGCUACCUGGUGACAGGAUGCUAAUCCCAAAAACCUCUCUCAGUUCGGAUCGAAGUCUGCAACCCGACUUCGUGAAGCUGGAUUCGCUAGUAAUCGCGCAUCAGCCACGGCGCGGUGAAUACGUUCCCGGGCCUUGUACACACCGCCCGUCAAGCCAUGGGAGCCGGGGGUACCUGAAGUACGUAACCGCAAGGAUCGUCCUAGGGUAAAACUGGUGACUGGGGCUAAGU
rnacentral:rRNA from 1 species